UUUACGGAAUGAAGUGCAUAUUUGAACUUCUAAAUAAUAAUAAUUGCUAGAAUUGAAGUUUCAGCGGCUAGAAUUGAGUUUCACUUAUUUAAAAAAAAUCAGUUGAGUAGCCUUGAUCUUGAUAGUAUGACGUAAUGACUUGCAGGAGCGUAUACAUGCUUCCUCUGAGCUAGCUUAAAGUGGGGUUGUCAUUUUAGCAGGGACCUCAGGAAAACUGGAACAGUGAAGAAACGGUGUGUGGUUACAGACUUUUGUGUGAGGUUUUGAAAGUUAGGUAGGCGACUCUAGGCUGAGGAGCUCAGAAAACUGUUUACUGCCUCCAAAAUGUCAGAAAGUAAAUUGUCAAUAUUUUUGUUAUUUUUCAAUCUACAUGGCUGAAAUUUUGACAGUGAAUGGCUGGUAGGCAUAGAAAUCUGUACCUAAAAAGCUGAAAUGAGAGCGCUCGGACAAUGUGAAGUUUGUCGCAUAGACGGGGAUUGACCGCCUUUGUACAUAUAUGUCUACAGCUUCUCAGAUUUGACCGAAGACAGUUGUUCGGUGUUGUGAAUGGGUAAAUAAUUCCAUUUUAGAUGCAUUUAAUCAAGAUCAGGUACUUUCUGUGAUUUUGUAAAAUUUAAUAGACUUCGUUAAAUUGCAUCGGCAAGCGAAAAAAAGCCAGAAAAUAGAAUUGUAGUGGAAUAACAUUAUUUCAGCCAGUUUUGCCAUAAUGACUACUUUCUAAAUCAUGUGUGGUAGUGAGAUAACAUUUAUAAUCAGUUACCAUGAAAUUGGACAGGAAUUUGUUCAUAAUAGUUGAUGCAGUAAGCUGUAUUCCCAGUGUGAAUACUCAGUUCAGAUUGUAGCUAAUUUCACCUGAAAAUAGUAAACAUUGCUUCAGAUCUAGCAGUCAGUAAAGCAAGGAAACUGGACAGACUGCUUUGUGAUUGAUAGUUUUGUUAUUCAGACUGUUUGUUAUGACACAUUUUACUUACAUAAGACUUGAAUUUGA